rnacentral:misc_RNA from 1 species
GGAAAUAAAAGUCGUAACAAGGUUUCCGUAGGUGAACCUGCGGAAGGAUCAUUAUUGUAUAGCCGAGGUGCGAGGGCUGUCGCUGACCCGAAAGGUCGUGCACGCCCGAGUGCCCUCACACACAUCCAUCUCACCCCUAUGUGCACCACCGCGUGGGUCCCCCUUUGGCUUGUUCGGAGGGGGGCUUACGUUUUCACACAAACUUUGUAUGCAGUGUAGAAUGUAUUUUUUGUUUUUGCGAUCACGCAAUCAAUACAACUUUCAACAACGGAUCUCUUGGCUCUC